CACCUGUUUAAUCAAGAACAAUUACCUGGAAUGUCAAAAUGGGUACUCAGUUUUCAUCAUUUAAUGGACAGCUUAAAAGGGAAAUAGAAUUAGAAAUACCAAGGCUGUCAAUCGUUUUCAUUAUCUAUCGUUCAAAUGCAGAAGGAUACAAAUACCAAUCCUGCCACUCGUUUUCAUUAGCUAUCGUUCAAAUGCAGGAAGAUACAAAUACCAAACCUGCUACUCGUUUUCAUUAGCUAUCGUUCAAAUGCAGGAAGAUACAAAUACCAAACCUGCUACUCGUUUUCAUUAGCUAUCGCUCAAAUGAAGAAAUUGACUCGGAAAUAUCAAUCGUGUCAAUCAUUUUCAUUAGGUUUCGGUCAAAUUAAAAAAUAUACACGUUCAGAAAAAAAGUAAUGCCAAUCCUAUCUCUCAAGUUCUCAUUUGAUUUCGUUCAGAUCCGGGAAAUACACAGAUUCAGAAUAUUAAAAAAAAAAAUCAUAUCACUCAUUUUCAUUAGAUAUCGGUCAGGUUUAGUAACAGACACGUACAGAAAAGUUUAAUGCCAAUCCUCUCACUGUUUCCUUUGAUUAUCGUUCAGAUUCAUCAAUAGACGGAUAAGGUUAAUUUCAAUACCAGUUCUGUUAUCCAAGAUCUCAUUAGGCAUUGUCCAAAUCCAUAAAUAAACACGUACAGAAAAGCUUAUACCAUCACUCAAGUUCUCAUUAGUUAUCGUUCAAAUUCAUCAAUAGAAAGAUCAGGUUCAUUUCAGUGCAAAUUCUGUCACAUUUUCAUUAGGUAUCGUUCAAUUGAGGAAAUACGUAGACAAGUACAAAAAGUUAAUACCAAUCCUAAUCACUCAGUUCUCCUUUUAGUUAUCGUUCAAAUUCAUCAAUAGAAAGAUCAUGUUCAUUUCAAUACCAAUUCUGUCACAUUUUCAUUAACUAUCGUACACUCCAGGAAAUACGUAGACAGUUACAAAAAAAGGUUAAUACGAAUCCUAAUCACUCCGUUCUCCUUUUAAUUAUCGUUCAAAUUCAUCAAUAGAAAGAUCAGGUUCAUUUCAAUACCAAUUCUGUCACAUUUUCAUUAACUAUCGUACACUCCAGGAAAUACGUAAAGUACAAAAAGUUAAUAACAAUCCUAAUCACUCAGUUCUCCUUUUAAUUAUCGUUCAAAUUCAUCAAUAGAAAGAUCAGGAUCAUUUCAAUACCAAUUCUGUCACAUUUUCAUUAACUAUCGUACACUCCAGGAAAUACGUAGACAAGUACAAAAAGUUAAUACCAAUCCUAAUCACUCAAUUCUCCUUUUAGUUAUCGUUCAAAUUCAUCAAUAGAAAGAUCAUGUUCAUUUCAAUACCAAUUCUGUCACAUUUUCAGUAGCUAUCGUACACUCCAGGAAAUACGUAAAGUACAAAAAGUUAAUAC